rnacentral:rRNA from 1 species
AAGACCCUGUUGAGCUUGACUCUAUCCUGGGGUUGUUGGGCGACUUAGGAGGUGUAGCAUAGGUGGGAGCUUCCGAGCGUCACUGAAAUACCACCACUCCCAAGAUCGUCCUGCUGAUCUUGUUAUCGUAAGCGUGCAUGGACCCACUCCCGUGGCGUGGUUUGUGCGCGGCAGGCAUACUCGAGUAAGUGUAGGAUCCGCGCGAUUCCUCGCUUGCUUGGCUUCUUACGCACGAGAGACACCCCCAGGUGGGGAGUUCGGCUGGGGCGGUACACCCGUCAAAAGACAACGCGGGUGUCCUAUGGUCAGCUCAACGAGGACAGAACUCUCGUGUGGUGUAGUUAAGGGUAGAAGCUGACUUGAUUCGGGCUCUCAGUAGGAGCUUGAGCUGCGAAAGCAUGGCCUACCGAUCCUUUAGCCUUCUGGGUGUGAAGCUAGAGGUGUCAGAAAAGUUA